rnacentral:rRNA from 1 species
GAUCCUGGCUCAGGAUGAACGCUGGCGGCGUGCUUAACACAUGCAAGUCGAACGGUGAAGGAGGAGCUUGCUCUUCUGGAUCAGUGGCGAACGGGUGAGUAACACGUGAGCAAUCUGCCCUUGACUCUGGGAUAACAGUUGGAAACAGCUGCUAAUACCGGAUACGAGACGUGACCGCAUGGUCAACGUCUGGAAAGAACUUCGGUCAAGGAUGAGCUCACGGCCUAUCAGCUAGUUGGUGAGGUAAUGGCUCACCAAGGCGACGACGGGUAGCCGGCCUGAGAGGGUGACCGGCCACACUGGGACUGAGACACGGCCCAGACUCCUACGGGAGGCAGCAGUGGGGAAUAUUGCACAAUGGGCGAAAGCCUGAUGCAGCAACGCCGCGUGAGGGACGACGGCCUUCGGGUUGUAAACCUCUUUUAGCAAGGAAGAAGCGAAAGUGACGGUACUUGCAGAAAAAGCGCCGGCUAACUACGUG